UACGUAGGGUGCGAGCGUUGUCCGGAAUUACUGGGCGUAAAGCGCGCGUAGGUGGUUCGUUAAGUUGGAUGUGAAAUCCCCGGGCUCAACCUGGGAACUGCAUCCAAAACUGGCGAGCUAGAGUAUGGUAGAGGGUGGUGGAAUUUCCUGUGUAGCGGUGAAAUGCGUAGAUAUAGGAAGGAACACCAGUGGCGAAGGCGACCACCUGGACUGAUACUGACACUGAGGUGCGAAAGCGUGGGGAGCAAACAGG
rnacentral:rRNA from 1 species